rnacentral:rRNA from 1 species
GAUGAACGCUGGCGGCGUGCCUAAUACAUGCAAGUAGAACGCUGAAGGAGGAGCUUGCUCUUCUGGAUGAGUUGCGAACGGGUGAGUAACGCGUAGGUAACCUGCCUGGUAGCGGGGGAUAACUAUUGGAAACGAUAGCUAAUACCGCAUGACAACAGUUAUUGCAUGAUAACUGUUUAAAAGGGGCAACUGCUCCACUACCAGAUGGACCUGCGUUGUAUUAGCUAGUUGGUGAGGUAACGGCUCACCAAGGCGACGAUACAUAGCCGACCUGAGAGGGUGAUCGGCCACACUGGGACGGAGACACGGCCCAGACUCCUACGGGAGGCAGCAGUAGGGAAUCUUCGGCAAUGGACGGAAGUCUGACCGAGCAACGCCGCGUGAGUGAAGAAGGGUUUCGGAUCGUAAAGCUCUGUUGUAAGAGAAGAACGAGUGUGAGAGUGGAAAGUUCACACUGUGACGGUAUCUUACCAGAAAGGGACGGCUAACUACGUG